rnacentral:rRNA from 1 species
GACGUAGGGUGCGAGCGUUGUCCGGAAUCAUUGGGCGUAAAGAGCGUGUAGGCGGCCAGAUAAGUCCGCUGUGAAAUCUCGAGGCUCAACUUCGAGCUGUCGGUGGAAACUGUCUGGCUAGAGUCCGGAAGAGGAGAAUGGAAUUCCCGGUGUAGCGGUGAAAUGCGCAGAUAUCGGGAAGAACACCCGUGGCGAAGGCGGUUCUCUGGGACGGUACUGACGCUGAGACGCGAAAGCGUGGGGAGCGAACAGG